ACGGGAGGCAGCAGUUAGGAAUAUUGGACAAUGGGGGCAACCCUGAUCCAGCCAUGCCGCGUGAGUGUUAAGGCCUUCGGGUUGUAAAGCUCUUUUGUAUGGGAAAAUGAUGAUGGUACCAUAAGAAUAAGCACCGGCUAACUUCGUGCCAGCAGCCGCGGUAAUACGAAGGGUGCAAGCGUUGUUCGGAAUUACUGGGCGUAAAGGGCGCGUAGGCGGACAAAUUAGUCAGGAGUGAAAUCCCGGGGCUCAACCUCGGAACUGCUUUUGAAACGGUUUGUCUUGAGUGUGACAGGGGAUGAUGGAAUACCCAGUGUAGAGGUGAAAUGCGUAGAUAUUGGGUAGAACACCAGAGGCGAAGGCGGUCAUCUGGGUCAUUACUGACGCUGAGGCGCGAAAGCGUGGGGAUCAAACAGGAUUAGAUACCCUGGUA
rnacentral:rRNA from 1 species